CGGGUUGGAGCCGGAUUGGUAAGGCGCUUCGUUUGGGACGGAGAGUAACUAGGUUCGAUCCCUAGCAACCCGA
rfam:Metarhizium majus ARSEF 297 Scaffold_95, whole genome shotgun sequence.